GACGAACGCUGGCGGCGUGCUUAACACAUGCAAGUCGAACGGAAAGGCCCUGCUUUUGUGGGGUGCUCGAGUGGCGAACGGGUGAGUAACACGUGAGUAACCUGCCCUUGACUUUGGGAUAACUUCAGGAAACUGGGGCUAAUACCGGAUAGGAGCUCCUGCUGCAUGGUGGGGGUUGGAAAGUUUCGGCGGUUGGGGAUGGACUCGCGGCUUAUCAGCUUGUUGGUGGGGUAGUGGCUUACAAAGGCUUUGACGGGUAGCCGGCCUGAGAGGGUGACCGGCCACAUUGGGACUGAGAUACGGCCCAAACUCCUACGGGAGGCAGCAGUGGGGAGUAUUGCACAAUGGGCGGAAGCCUAAUGCAGCAACGCCGCGUGCGGGAUGACGGCCUUCGGGUUGGAAACCGCUUUCGCCUGUGACGAAGCGUGAGUGACGGUAAUGGGUAAAGAAGCACCGGCGAACUACGU
rnacentral:rRNA from 1 species